AUUUUAGGAGGCUCUUGAAAUGGAUGAGGAAAGGCAAUUUGACCACGAGCUGACGGAGCGCGUCGAUUACUUUUUAAAGCAAUUGAAAGCAUAUAAGACCCAACAUAUGGAACAGAAAUGCUCACAGAUUUGAGAUAUUUUGUGGCUUCAGGAACUGUCAUCGCAAGAGCGGGAAAAUUGGAUUUCUUGUUUAGUUGAGAAAUAAACCUUUUGCAGAAACCCUUUUGAUUUUUAAAAUUUAAAAAUUCAUUAUGUGACAAUAAUGUUUGCCGUUUACCUAACGCUAUUAAUGAACUCAUGGUUUUUAAUCUGGUUCGUCAAACUGUCACCAAGCUACUGGAUGUCAGUCAAUGAACCUGCUAAAAUCAUAAAUCUCUAAACAAAUCUGAUCCAGCUGUCAACUUUCGAAUUAAUAAAGAAUUAUCUUUCAAAUCAAAUUUCC